UGUUGAGACACAAGGCACAUUAACUCUUUCUUUGCUAAAUGGCUCCCAUUAGUGAGAGUCAUUGAGGUCAGCGCACCACGUUUACACACACCGUAAGGUUUCCCUUACACCGCCCUUCUAACAGAGUUGUUACGUUAAUUUAAAUAUGGAACAAACUUGUUUUUACACAGAAUUCUUUUAACAGGGUACAUAUCGAUUCAAAAAUGGCGCCCGUUUCAUUGGCGAAUAUUCACAGAACCUAAAGCAUGGAGUGGGGACAUUCAUGUAUCCCGAUGGAUCCAAAUAUGAAGGU